rnacentral:lncRNA from 14 species
CAAGAAGUCCCUUGUUUACAAUGUAAUGAAAGUCUGAUGCUGCCAUUACAACACCCAGGAAUGCCUUCAUCUAGACAAGCAGUUUCAAUGACAUGAAUGGAGCUGAAGUGAUGUACAAGUCUGGGCAGAAUCCUCUCUCAACUCAGAAUUUCUCCCCAGUUCUUCACAGAGAUCAGCGUGAACAGCAACCUGGAUGUGUCUUGUCUGUGAUUGUUGGCUCGAGAGGACCAGGACUGCACUCUGGGAACACUGUAAAGUCUAGAUUUUCUUCUUUUUCCUCUUGCAUGUAAUAAAUAAUCUUUUAAGAAACUGUUGAGAAGGAUGUGGAAUGAGACUAAAAUCCUUCUCUCUUCCAAACCCCACCCCCCCAGUAUAUGUAAG